UGAACUCUUCCGGAACAACACCAUCACUCUUGACCUAGGCGGCUGCCUAGUGCGGGACUCCACCUCGGUGUUCACGUCAGCUGUGGUGACAGUUUCCAAGCGGUCACUCUCCUGGCCUGGGACGGUGGCAAGGGGUUGGCAGAGAUUCUGCCGCACGAGCUUGUCUGUUCUCCGUGGGACAGGUUUUAUCUAUUAUUCACCAAACCAAAUGGUGACUGAGCACCUCGGAGGGGCCCUUUGGCCGGAGACAGAGCAAUGAAGCAAACAGAUGUAAAUCCUUGAGACCUGCAUGUCAUCAAGGGAAGGGAAAAUGAACGAAAGCAGACCAGAAACAAACAGAUAAGGAAGCCUUCACAGUCUGUUACCAGUCGAAUGGCAUGUUUCAAAUUUGACCAGCUUCAUUCUCAAGUGUUGGAAGGCCACAGGUGGCUACGGCCUUGGACAGCACAGGCAUAGAGGCAUCUUGUUGAUACUCCAGAGACUUCAAAUUGUUCGAAGAGAGAAUGCUUUUCAUGCAGACGCCCACUGCCAACUAAACAAACAAAGAAAGGUAUAUAUUGGAUUGUGUAAAACCACACUCAUCUCUGUGUGAUCCUCACUUUUUUUAAAUUUAAUUUUUCAGGGCUUCCCUGGUGGCUCAGUGAUAAAGAAUCCACCUGCCAAUGCAGGAGACACAGGUUCAACCCCUGGUCUGGGAAGAUCCCACUUACUGCGGAGCAACUAAGCCCUUUGCCACAACUUCUGAGCCUGUGCUCUGGAGCCCGGGAGCCGCGACUCCUGGGCCCAUGAGCCCCAGCUAAUGGAGCCUGCAUGCCGUAGGCCUGUGCUCCUCAAUGAGAGGCCCCACCGCAGUGAGAAGCCUAUACAAUGCAACUCAAGAGGAGCCCCUGCUCGCCACAAAUAGAGAAGACCCCGAGCAGCAAGGAAGACCCAG
ensembl:lncRNA